ACGACACACAAAACAAAAGGGAGUAAGUCAUUAGUUUAAAAACUAACAUCACAUGAUAAUCCACAUUUCAAAUACGAUUAAACUUUAACAUAAAUUAUAAACGCAAUUACGUAAAUGCAAACAUUCAUCUCUUCUUUCGUUCAUUUCUACGUUAUCCAUAUUCAUCCUAUAGAAUACAUAUCCCAUAAUAUAUAUUCUAUAGCAUGUAUAUUACUUUUAUCCUUAACGUCUUCAUUUCCAACAUUCAUAUUCACCCUAUAGUAUAUAUAUCCCAUAAUAUAUAUCCUAUAGCAUGCAUAUGACUUUCGCUCUUAACGUCCUUGUUUCUCAUAUGUCGUAUUCAUCAUUAAUCGUAUUCACCGAGUUCUUUCACACUAUAAUCUCCUACCACCUCGGGUAGAUCAAAUUACAUCUCCAUACCACAUCGGGCAGGUCUA